GGGGAUUUAGCUCAGUGGUAGAGUGCUUGCCUAGCAAGCACAAGGCCCUGGGUUCGGUCCCCAGUUCCG
rnacentral:tRNA from 1 species